AGGGACUGGAUGCUUGCAGAGAG
rnacentral:piRNA from 1 species